rnacentral:rRNA from 1 species
AUUGAACGCUGGCGGAAUGCUUUACACAUGCAAGUCGAACGGCAGCACGGACUUCGGUCUGGUGGCGAGUGGCGAACGGGUGAGUAACAUAUCGGAACGUAUCCAGUAAUGGGGGAUAACGAGUCGAAAGAUUCGCUAAUACCGCAUACGCCCUACGGGGGAAAGCUGGGGACCUUCGGGCCUGGCGUUAAUGGAGCGGCCGAUAUCUGAUUAGCUAGUUGGUGAGGUAAAGGCUCACCAAGGCGACGAUCAGUAGCUGGUCUGAGAGGACGACCAGCCACACUGGAACUGAGAAACGGUCCAGACUCCUACGGGAGGCAGCAGUGGGGAAUUUUGGACAAUGGGCGCAAGCCUGAUCCAGCCAUUCCGCGUGAGUGAAGAAGGCCUUCGGGUUGUAAAGCUCUUUCGCAAGGGAAGAAAACUUAGCCACUAACAUUGGUUGAGGUUGACGGUACCUUGAUAAGAAGCACCGGCUAACUACGUGCCAGCAGCCGCCGUAA